AAAUAAAAUAAAAAAAUAAAGUGCAGAUUUCAUUUUACUCAUUGUCUUCAUUCUUCCCUCUCUAACUUCUCUCUACAUUCUCUUACGUUUUCCUUUACUUUCUUGGUGGCUAAACACCACACCUUUACUCCACCCUUACACCGCCACCUUAACCCACCAUCUCCACCACCGCCGGCCACCUUAUCUCGCUGGAAAAAGGGUCCAGUUGGCCACUCCUUCACUCCAUCGAAAAAUAACACAAUAGAAUUGUUAGGAUUGGAGGAAGGCAUCUUUACACCUCUUGGGAAUUAAUUCGUAGAGUUUCAAAUCAACGCUUUUGCUAUUUUGGAGAUUCCUAGACUUUUGUGUGGCUCGCCUCAACUUGGAAGAUUAGAAUUUUUUUGAAGGAUCAAAUGUGGGCAUUGUGUAGUUGAGGUUUUGCUUAGGGUUAUUGUAGGAUGUAGUUUUAUCCUUUAUUGUUUUUUUAUGAAGGAGGUUGAUUGUAAAUAUUUUCUUUAUGAAGUUGAAUGUAUUGAUGGAUUUGUGAAUAGUAUGUUUUAUUUUUGGGGAAGUAAUGCUUGGGAACUAGCUUGUAGUAUGAUGAUAUUUUUUGUCUUUGAAUGGAUCAUCUCAUAUAUGUUGGCCAA